rnacentral:rRNA from 1 species
UACGGAGGGGGCGAGCGUUAUUCGGAAUUACUGGGCGUAAAGGGCUCGUAGGUGGCCAACUAAGUCAGACGUGAAAUCCCUCGGCUUAACCGGGGAACUGCGUCUGAUACUGGAUGGCUUGAGUUUGGGAGAGGGACGCGGAAUUCCAGGUGUAGCGGUGAAAUGCGUAGAUAUCUGGAGGAACACCGGUGGCGAAGGCGGCGUCCUGGACCAACACUGACACUGAGGAGCGAAAGCCAGGGGAGCAAACGGG